rnacentral:lncRNA from 7 species
GUAAAAUCACGGGAUCUUGCCCGAAGGGGAAAAGAAGUGUGUCCAUCUCGUGCUACUGCAGCACAGCCGGGCUCUUCUGCCAAAAAAUGGGAAGCUGGGGCAGUGUGGGGAGACGUGUCUGGAAAUGAAGAGGUGGUUCCUCCAGGCUGUGCAACCUGAAGAUGUUCAGCUCAUCACAUAAUGAGAUCCCACCAGAGGAACAACAUUAGGAUGCCUCCCAGACAGCCAAGGCCUUCAAAAUGCAUGGAGGAGGAGCAGCUCCAUCGAAGUCACGCAUAGCUGAGCAUCCCAGAGGGGGAAGGUGAGGAUGCUGGGUGACACCAUCGCUUCCCCAAGGCAGAGAUGCACAGACAUUUUGAAGUGUUCCACCAGAGUUUGGGUGUUCCUCUCUUCGGUUGCCUUUUCCAAGGGUCCAGACAGAAGCACUACUGUUCUCCCUGUUUUGUUGAAGGGAGUGACUAAGUCCUCCUCCUGCCUCCUGCCCACAAAGUGGGAUGUUGCUCUUGUCACUGGCAUCAAAAACAGAACGGGACUGUGAAUUGAAGAGCUCUGGGAGGGAGGGUGAGAAGCACCAGAAGCUGUGGUGCAAUAGGAAAAUGUCCCCAUUGCUGCAUACAACAGAGUCCAGCCUCUCCUGCCCUCAGGUUCAUGCUGGGAUCACGGGGCCAUGUUUGAGCACUGUGAUGGGCAGAGGAGACGACAGAGACGUGAUGGAGAUCACCUCCCCUGGGUUCUGGGCUACAUGCAGCUGAUGAAGCUGUCAACCAUGAGUUGCUGAAGACCUCCCAGAGCCAUCGUUCUGGCAGAGACCAAAGGUUCAAAGCAGCAUCCACUGCUCCAGAGCCUGAAGACCUCACCACCCAUAAACACCAGGAAGAACAAAGGGCUGCCUGCAGGGAGUUGAUGGGUGGCACAAAAGCUCCUCAAUGCAGGGAUUUUGCCAUCUCCAGAACACAUCUCCAACAGCGUGUCGUCAGACCUUACAGACAUAAAUGCCUACAGCACAUCAGAGAGCCCCAGUCACCCCAUCCAAUGGGAGCACUGAUGUGCACACGUGGGAAGCGCAGCCAUUAUAAGCCACUCUCAAGGAGUUCACUUUUUAUGGGUGAAAACCUUCCUUUUUGGGUGUAUGAUUUAAGCCCCACUGGAGACUGUUUGCAUUCCAAAGGUGGCUCUCACACAUCCAACUCUUCUUGAGAAGGAGCAAAAUCAGGAGCAGAGUUGCAACCUCCCUGCACACACGGUAUCGCCUUACACUCCUGCAAUGACAAGGAUUGCUUUUUCUUUGCUGCAGAGGCAAUGUGCAGGAUCCCAUUCCCCCAUCCCAGAUGGCAUCCCCAAGAGCAAUGGCUCCGGAUGGACGUGUCACAAUAAAAUCUCCCUUCUAU